GUUGAGGUAGUCGAGUUGGUCCCAGGAGCGCGACGUUAUGGCUGCCUUCCAGAGGGCGUGGGUUCGAAUCCCACUUCUAGCA
rnacentral:tRNA from 1 species